UUAAUUGAAGAGUUUGAUCAUGGCUCAGAUUGAACGCUGGCGGCAGGCCUAACACAUGCAAGUCGAGCGGUAACAGAAAGAAAGCUUGCUUUCUUUGCUGACGAGCGGCGGACGGGUGAGUAAUGCCUGGGAAUAUACCCUGAUGUGGGGGAUAACUAUUGGAAACGAUAGCUAAUACCGCAUAAUCUCUUGUCUUUUACGAGAUCGGAGCAAAGAGGGGGACCUUCGGGCCUCUCGCGUCAGGAUUAGCCCAGGUGGGAUUAGCUAGUUGGUGGGGUAAUGGCUCACCAAGGCGACGAUCCCUAGCUGGUCUGAGAGGAUGAUCAGCCACACUGGAACUGAGACACGGUCCAG
rnacentral:rRNA from 1 species